rnacentral:lncRNA from 1 species
CGAUAGUGGUUCGUCGUAAUUGCUUAUAUAAUGAGGCAGUAAGCAUUUUUCUUCUUGUUACACUGCACGAAAGAUCACUGAGCAAGUAAAAUUUCCUUUACAUCUUUUCGGCAGUGUUCAAUUUCUUUCCAUCAAGAAACCAAUUUUUUUUCUUUUAGGUCGACUUGUUUGAUUCUUGUGUAAGUCAUGGAUUGAUUUGUUUAGGUUUUUGUUCUUCCAAAAGCUAUAAAAUGGGAUCUUCUUCAAAAAAACAAUCAAAGGGAACCUUCCAGGAGGCUAACAUAGCCAUGAUAUGUUUCAAGGCUGGUAUACCACCAGUAAUCCCUACUGAGAAAUUUUUCAACCUUGAGCCUCUAGUGGAGAAAGAUUUCAAUGGGUGAUGUUGUAUGAACCCUUGAGGCCCUUAAUCGCUCCUCAUAUGGGACAUUCCAACCCCUAUUAAGAAUUGGAAGUCAUCAUGGUUUUCUUAUAAGGCCGUUGGCAAACCAUGAAGGGUGAUGUAGUCCCAAAAUUAACUGUGCAACCCAGUAUUUUGAGUAUAGUGGGUUCUUGAUAUCAAGCGUUUCAUUUAUUUGUCACUUUCUACUUGGAUAUUUUUUACUUUGUUUUUAAUGCAACUGCAGUUAACUGGUUUGAGCUUGGAGCAAAACGGUGGGCCAUAUUUCGUGUCAUAUACGAUCUGUUGGGAAUUUACUUAAACAUGCACAGCGAAAUUUAACAAAUUUCAAUUCUCAU